rnacentral:tmRNA from 1 species
GGGGGCGACCUAGAUUCGACGGAGAUAUUGUUUCGCAGGAUGCGUGCCGAGGACCAUUCACCUCGUAAAUCCAAUGGAAAACAACAUAACUGCGAACACGCAGCUCGCUCUCGCAGCCUAAACCCCUGUGAGCGUCCACUCCGGUCAGCCUGCGGGCCGGUACUGGAUGUCAUUUAAGCAGGCUGGCUGCUGACGGUUGCCUCGGACGUCAGCGGCGAGAUUUUUCGGGGUUGGUGCCUGGCGGUUUUUCCGCUUCUACACGGCGGGCACGACAAUUCAGAGGCGGAUACGCAUCGUAGAUUCCUGCGGGGAUGUAUUUUCGGACCCGGGUGCAAAUCCCGGCGCCUCCACCA